rnacentral:misc_RNA from 1 species
UACGGAGGGUGCAAGCAUUAAUCGGAAUUAUUGGGCGUAAAGAGCGCGUAGGCGGUGUCUUAAGUCAGAUGUGAAACUCCAAAGCUUAACUUUGGACCUGCAUCUGAAACUGAGACUCUAGAGGAUAGUCGGAGAAAACGGAAUUCCACAAGUAGCGGUGAAAUGCGUAGAUAUGUGGAAGAACACCAGUGGCGAAAGCGGUUUUCUAGAUUACACCUGACGCUGAGGUGCGAAAGCAAGGGGAGCAAACAGG